GUUGCGAUGACGCCACACUAACAAAGGAUAAGAAACCCCGAAAGCAACCUAAACAUGAGAUUUACAAAAUUCGAUCACCGAUGGUACAAAAUUGCAACGUGGCUACAACGGUUAGUGCUAUUACAAUUUGUCAGUUCAAAAUGAAAAUCCACAGCGCUACAAUCCCUUAGAUGUUGACGAACGGCGCGCCGGUGAUGAACUCGGUGGCGGCGAGCGCGACGAGGCCGAGC
rnacentral:lncRNA from 1 species